CACUCCCCUAGGGGACCAGAUGGAAGACUGGGAAACAUAUUGGACAUUGACCAAUCACAAGCUUACAAUCCCACAAUGCAUCACAAUCCCUCCUCUCUGUCCUGGAGAUAAUUGGGAAGUAAUCCAAUUAUCUCCAAGGACAGAGGCAAAACUCCAUUAGCCACAUGGCAGACAAAGGACAAUAAAAGACAUAAAAUUACAUACUGUUACAUUUAUCACAUAGAACAUACACAUUCUACCUAUCCC